GUCUACAGCUACACCACCCUGAAUGUGCUGAUCCUGUCUGAUCCGGGAAGCUAAGCAAAGUCGGGUCUGGAUAGUUGUUGGUG
rnacentral:rRNA from 1 species